rnacentral:rRNA from 1 species
CAUGUAGGUGGUUAUGUAAGUCGAGCGUGAAAUCCUUUGGCUCAACCAAAGAACUGCACUCGAAACUGCAUAACUUGAGUUCAGGAGAGGAAAGCGGAAUUCCCGGUGUAAGAGUGAAAUCUGUAGAGAUCGGGAGGAACACCAGUGGCGAAGGUGGCUUUCUGGACUGAUACUGACACUGAAAUGCGAAAGCUAGGGGAGCAAACAGGAUUAGAUACCCUGGUAGUCC